UUAUUACUGCAAAGAAAUAUAUAUUUAUUUAAAGUUUAUUACCUUUUGCAUAAUGGUUUAAUAAAAUAUAUUAAAAUUAUAAUUCCCGAAGUUAGAAGAUCUAAUUAUAUUAACUUAUUAGAAAUAAUUUAUAUAAUGUUUCAAAAUUAUAAAUAUAAAUAUAAUUAGGGGUGAAAGGCCUAUCAAUUCUAAAGAUAUCUGGAAUAAUUUUAAAUGUAUUUAGUACAAAUUGAGAUUUGAAUAAAAAAAUGUUAAGAUUUUUUUAAUUAUAGAAUAUUAAAUUAAAUGUAUUAUAUGAGUUAAUCCUCUAAUAUUAGUUUAUUAAAAUAAUUUAAUAUUAAAUAUAUCUGUAUAUUAAAAUUAUAUUUAAAUUUAAUUAAAUUAAGAAUUAACUAUGUUAAAAUUAGUAUAAUAUUUUUUAUUUUAUUAAGGAACUCGGCUAAUUAUUAUUCACCUGUUUAUCAAAAACAUAGUCUUAUGUAUUUAUAUAAGGUGAAACCUGCCCACUGAUGUUAAAUUUAAUGGCCGCAGUACCUUGACUGUGCUAAGGUAGCAUAAUAAAUUGACUUUUAAUUGGGGCCUUGAAUGAAUGGAUAAAUGGAUAAUUUCUGUCUCAAUAAAAAUUUUAUAAGUUACUUAAAAGGUGAAAAUUCCUUUAAAUAAAUUAAAUAGACGAGAAGACCCUAGGAGUUUUUAAUUUUGUUGGGGCGACAGUAUAGCAUUAUAACCUAUAUGUAAAUAUUUAUAUAAAACGAAUAAUUUUAAUAAUAAAUAAACUACCCUAGGGAUAACAGCAUAAUUUAAUUUUAAGUUUGUGACCUCGAUGUUGGACUAGGGACUUUUAAAGCUAACAGUGUUAAUUGAUAGUUCUGUUCGA
rnacentral:rRNA from 1 species